ACACGUUUCUGCUAUGCCUCUACUUCCAAAGUUCCGUUGCAUCAAAUGAAACAAACGGAGCCGUUAAUCCAUGUUGAAAAAAGGUGAAGCUGUGGGCAGAAAAAUGGACUAGCAGAGCAAGCGUAAGAUAUUUUCAUGGAGCCCCAGUUCCGAAUCCAUAAGGGACGCCAGUGUUCCCAGUCCACAACUGCCAGACCUCUGUAGCCAGCAUCCAAAAUGGUGUUCUUAAUGUCUUGUUCAAUCUUCUGGAGAUUAUCUUUUAGGCUAGCAUUUUGAGGGAGACCACCAUGGAUGGCAACUCCAUCCUUAGUGUAAUACGGAUAAUAUCCAAAUCUGUUACUGUAGAAAAGAGUAAUGUCUUUCCCCAUAAAUGAGUCGUGCUGGUUGACAAUUAGAUCAAAAAUCCUCAAGUCAAGGGAUAUUCCAUAUUUAUCUUGGCAUAUCUGAGUUGGUGCAUUCCAAACUGAGAUGAAUGGAUGGCCCAGUAUUGCUUGGGCUCCUUCGGUCAUGUCAUGAUUCCAAGCCAUUAGAAAAGCAUUUAGUAAGUAGACCCACAAAGUCAAGCAUUCCAUACUCAUCUCCAUUCUGCAACCUAUUUUCCAGCAAAACGCUCAGGUCGUCUUGUCCCUGUCAAUGCCAGAGGCUUCUAGUAGAAUUGAGCAAAGGAAGUACUGUAGUUCUUUCCAGCAAAUGGAGAAAAUAAUUUCAACAGAAAGGGGAGAAGACUAGCUCGCAGAGGGCGCAACAGCAGAGGAAACCAUGAAUUCCUACUUGUCCUUUUAUUUUCUAUCUACAUUUCAAGGUUCUUCCAGAGCAAAAUCAAAUGGUAAGAAACAGAAGUCCUUCUGUGACUUGAAAUGUUGCUGGGAGUCAGUGUUAUCCUUUCAUCUUUGCUUUUCCAAUAACCUUGGCUGACAGUUCAGGUACUGCUUACUAUUCCUAGAAUAAUAAGUGUUUACUUAUUAACAACCCCCUUGCUUUUAUGCUGUCUCCCCAACAAUACUUAAUUAAUGACUUUCUGGAGGCAGUCACUUCUUCUCAUCUUAUGAAAGUUCACCAGUAGGCAAAGGUCAUAGUAGAGUGGUGUCAUUUCAAAGGAAUGGUUGGGUAAAUCAGCUGAAUAUACAUUAAAAUCUGUCUCCUGUAGAGAAAAUAGGAUAGAGCUCAAAUGAAAGUAUAGAAACAGAGGAAGAAUUAGAUAAUCUCAAUGACUGUUUUGCUACAGCACGACAUAUAACUGGCUGAGAACUAUCAGAAUUAUGGAACAAAAUAAUUAGAGGGCACCAAAUUGGAGAACAUGCAGCACAUUUCAAGUGUUCCAAGAAUACAUAUGGAACACCUUGGCAAAUCUUACAAUAUCUCCUCAAAGAUAUUUCUGUUUCCAUACUGGGAGAGGAGACUUGGUUCAAAUUACCUCCUAAAUUUGUGACUGAAUUCAGAUUUGAAUAAAUUACUUCCUCAUUCAUCAUUCAAUCUCUUAAAGCCAUUUUGCUAGAUCAGCAGAACCAACCCCAAAAAUAUAAGCUGGGAUGGUUCAUCAAGCUGAACCCAGUUACAAGAAUUGCAUAAAAUGGAUCCCAGCUGCUGCCUUUUAAUUACACAAAAUUUCCACAUCUCUCUGCAAACUUAUACCACUAAAGUUUUGCCAAGCCAAAAUCCUUACACGACCCUUGGCUAAGUCUGAUGUUCCUAAGUGAUCAGCUUUUUCCAUCAGAAUGACAAUUUCUCAGUUCCCUGUUGUUCCUUAGGCUUAGUAAUCAUAGUUUAGUUACAGGAGUUACCUUGAAAGUAUUAUACAUCUGAUUGUGCCAGAGUGUGUAAAGUACAAGAGGGAAGAGAUUUGCCCUAAGAAAUGCAUGCUAGCAUAAAGGUAACAAUGCUGUGAACAAACACAGGACACUAAGCAGCGGCUGGCAUUGGGGGAGUACUGAGGUUAAUUAGUACUAGGAAAACAUAGAAACUUCAGGCAAAUAGUAAAUCUGGCUCAAUUUACAAGUGGCCAAAGGCUACACAACCACCUUGCUUUCUUACCUUACCCCCCCUAAAACAACACUGCUUCUGUCUGAAUUUAUGAGGCAGCCCUGAAAGAACAGCAUUUCACAUUAGGAUUCAACAGAACAAAUCAGAGCAAAGCUUUUCUGAAAGACCCUCAGCCAUUUGUUUCAACAGAACAGGUGAUGGAAAGAGUCAAGAUUAUUGUUGCAGACUGGGCAGUAAUGAAAACCCAAAUAUUGUGAUUCUUCUUUAAACUGUGGUACAAAUACGGGAAAAUGUACUGUAUAGCAUUUUCCAUCAAAAGUGGGCAUUUCCCAUUUUUAUUUUUCUGUUCGGAAAGUAUACCGCCAAGGGAGAAUCUGACACAAGAAAACUAGGGUCAGUUGAGAAAUAAAAAGUAAUUCGGAACAAAUAAUACUAAUAACAAAUAAGUAACAGAAAAGAAGUUGCUUAAGUAUUCUCGGUGUCUGAUUUUUUAGGUGUCUGAUCUUUUAGCAGUCACUAAACCCAAUCACAUCCAUAAAAUAAUUACAAGAACAUGACUCAUGUAAUCAUUUUGUUUUUCACAUUUCAGUUUCAUUUACUUUAGAGGAGCAAAGUCUGUUAUCCUACAGAUGUUGUAAGACUACAAUUUCCGUAAUUCCAACUGGGCUGAUCGGAAUUGGAGUCCAACAGCUUCUAUGGGGCAACAGGCUUUCUUCCCAAUUGAAUCCACUUUUUAACAUUUUUCUUCCUUGUUGGUGCUUGCAAGCUGUUCACAUGUUUAAAUAAUAUUUAAACUCAUCUGCCCAUAUUAGCAAUCUUGCAGGAUUUCCCAGCUUGCAGGAAAUCAUUGGAUUAUUUUCCUGAGAGUCGCAUAGUGAAGAACUGGACUUGCAUCUUACUAGGAUGGAAGAAGUGCUCAUCAGGAUAUCCACUGAGGCAAGAGCAAGAAGUUCUAGAAGUGCUGGUUUUAAUUUUCAGUAUUACUAAACAGUAGUAAAAUACUUUGGAGCUCAGCAGCAAAACCA